CUCCUCCUUCCCCCCACUUUUACUGUCCAGUCAGCAGCAGCUCAGGCGCCUCCCUCUCCCUCCUCUUUGGCCAUCCCUGCCCUCGGCUAUCUAGGCAUCUGUUCCUCAUUCCUGCAUCCAAACAUUUUCUCCAGGUUGGCUGUCAGUCCGGCAUUGUGCUGCAGGGGUCUCAGCUGGAGCAGAAUUGCCCUCACAUGAGCAUGAGCAUUCGGACAGGUCUGGACUUGUCCCUCUGACAAGGAGGAAGCGGUGGCAGGAAGCCUGUGGGCCCACCUGGGAGAGAGGUCUACGGAUCUCGGUGCAAUUUGUUCAGUAUAUGGAGCAAUGCAAUGAGUAUUCCAACCCUGAACAGCUGGGAAAGGAGAAAGAUGUGAAAAAUGAGGAGGGAUCCAGGUGGAAAGAAGAUGAAGAUCCAAUUUGUAUCCAAUGGCACAGAAGGCUCUUUAUGUCCAUGCUCUGUUAAUGUCACCUUCCCCAAGCCGUGUCUGCACCAACUGCCCUGCACAAACCGCCACAGGACACCCGCAACCCUGCGCCCUGCCCUAGUCUUCUCUGCAUUUUCCCUCAAGCUCCAUGUUGCCUGCCGAUGUCUGCUUUUACAAUUCCCUCUUUCCAGAGUAUUCCCUUCAACUUCCUCAUUCUCCUUUCAACUAAUUUUUACUGGUACUCCAGUCCUCAUCCUGCAGGGCACCCCUUUGGAGUCAUUUUCUGACCUGGAGGUUUUAUAGAAAAUGUUCCUCUCUGUUUACCCUAUCAUGGCAGUCGUUUGCCAUAGGGCAAUUGCCUGCUAAUUUCUCUGUCUCCUUCAUUACCUGGAAGCUCCUGGAGGGCAGGAUUUAUAUAAUCUUCACCACUGUUUUCCUAGUAGUUAGGAGUGCCCAACCAAUAACAGUCACUCAAUAAAUACUUUUUGAAUAAAUUGUUGCAAAUAAAUAGUAACCCUAGAAUAUUCAAGGUAACAAUGUUCUGUACAAUCACUGGAAGAAAACAGCUGUUUAGUACAUUUUGAAAAUAUUUCCAUCAAAACAGAUUCAAAUAAAAUCUUGGCACUUCAAUGGAAUAAGCUUCAGUUAACUGGGAAAAUAAUGUGCUUGCAAUGUGUUAACAGAAGAUGGUAAAUAAAUGAGAAUAUAGUUGCCUAGCUUUUUCACUGACCUUUCAAAUAGAUAAGCUCUGGAGAUGACAGGGGGAUGGGAAGAAGGAACCAUAUCCAUUCUACAGUACUAAGGAUUGUGCCUUGAUUACUUAGUUGCUCAAUGAAUAUUUGAUGACAGACUCAGAAAUGUAGGGCUUAAAGGAACUUUGAUGACUGAGGAUUGUUUGAUUAAAACUGAACCAUUUAGGACCCUGGGGGAUGAACCACAAAGCAGCUGUCACUGGCCAGCAGAAUAAGGGAAUACCUCGCUGCUACUCCUAGGAUCUGGUCCCAGGUGUCUGCACUGAAUGGCUUUCCAGGAACCCCAGCAGUGCCUGCCAAGACUGCAUUUUCAGAUUUAAC